rnacentral:tRNA from 1 species
CCUUCGAUAGCUCAGUUGGUAGAGCGGAGGACUGUAGUGGAAGCUCGCACGGCCAUCCUUAGGUCGCUGGUUCGAAUCCGGCUCGAAGGA